ACGGCCAUAUCAUGUCAAGACACGGGCUCUCAUACGAUCAGCGAAGUUAAGCAACGUCGAGCCUUGUCAGUACCUAGAUGGGUGUUCGCUUGGGAAUACCACGUGCUAUA